CACGAAGGGGGCUAGCGUUGCUCGGAAUCACUGGGCGUAAAGGGUGCGUAGGCGGGUCUUUAAGUCAGGGGUGAAAUCCUGGAGCUCAACUCCAGAACUGCCUUUGAUACUGAAGAUCUUGAGUUCGGGAGAGGUGAGUGGAGCUGCGAGUGUAGAGGUGAAAUUCGUAGAUAUUCGCAAGAACACCAGUGGCGAAGGCGGCUCACUGGCCCGAUACUGACGCUGAGGCACGAAAGCGUGGGGAGCAAACAGG
rnacentral:rRNA from 1 species